UGAGGCCCGAGCCUCCAGGCACAUGCUAUCAAUUCCACCUGACCUCCCUGCAGACACGGAUCCAAGUGAGUAAGAGCUUCAGGACAGCAGCCCCAGAGUUCCUCCCUAAGCACAGAGAUCCUCUUCCAGGCAUGUUACGGAGUGCGGGUGCCCUGGUCACACACCCACAAAGCUGCCCUGGAGCACCUCUUCAUAGGUUCCUCAGGCUGAUUUACAGGUCACCUCACUGAUCCGUGACUCGUGGAAAAAUGAGUUCCCACCUGUGGCCCCCUGCCUGUCCUGGAGCACCUGCCAAAGCACUGUCGGUCAUCUUCACACCAACAACUCUCAACAUGCUCUGAGGCAGAAGAGUGACUCAUCCAAGACGUCCAAGUCGUGAUCCCCAGAAUCUGUGAAUAUGUUGCCUUAUAUGGGAAAGGAAGAUUAAGGUUGCAGAUAGAAUCAGUGUUGCUGAUCGGCUGGCUUUAAAAUAGCAUUAUAUUGAAUUAUCCUGGUGGGCACACUGUAUAAUCACAAAAUUUUAAAACCAGCCUGGGCAAAAGAGCAAGACACUAUCAAAAAAAAAAAAAAAAAAGUGGAAGAGAAGAAGAUGUGAAAAAAGAGAGGGAAGAUUGAUGUGAUUAUGUUCAAGAUAGAAGUGGCCAUGAGUGGGCAGAAAAA